UACGUAGGGUGCAAGCGUUAAUCGGAAUUACUGGGCGUAAAGCGCGCGCAGGCGGUUUUUCAAGUCAGUGGUGAAAGCCCGGAGCUCAACUCCGGAACUGCCAUUGAAACUGGCGAACUUGAGUACGAGAGAGGUGAGUGGAAUUCCCAGUGUAGAGGUGAAAUUCGUAGAUAUUGGGAAGAACACCGGUGGCGAAGGCGGCUCACUGGCUCGUAACUGACGCUCAGGCGCGAAAGCGUGGGGAUCAAACAGG
rnacentral:rRNA from 1 species